ACCAUCGGAGGAAUAAACCAGAGAAGAGAUGCAGGAUUACCACUAUCCUGGUCUCUCUAAAACAACUCUCUUCAAGGGAUUUUGCAGGGUUUAUCUACCCUUGGGUUCCUGUACUCCGAAGCAAUUUCGGUGGUCGAAAGUUGAACGGAGCCCGGCCUUUUCGCCUUCUUGCCCCUCACUCGAUACUGGUAGGGUUUGAAAACAUACACAGUGUGGAAACCGUUAAGAAGUACACAGCGGAAAAGAGAAGGAUGGCUGAAUGAAGAUGGACAGUCUUCCGGCCGAAAAUUUGAACUCCGUUCAGCUCGAAAGGCGUAUUUCCUGAAACCAAUCAAAAAUCGUACGAGGAUUGAACGAAAAUUUCGGAAACUUACAUAUAUUGAGAAUGAUUCUAUGCUGCUCCUCACCGCCAACUACGCACUGCGCACUGCUCAGCUUACUUGACGUGCCCUGACAGGGAUAACUCAAGGCUGCGUAGCUACUACAAUUCAAUGAGAAAUACCUACGAAUCUGUCUGACCUCUAUUUUUGAACAGGCUUUCAAAUAGAAGAGCAUAGCCCAUGUAAACGAAGUUAUCAUCAUUAAAAAUAGAACUUUGCUUCCAACCGGAUUAAAGUGGUCGGGGUCCAAAAAGGAUCGUGAUAACAUGAUGACCAUCGCAUGAGGCCUUGUUUCUUUUAAGUUUCUUGGCUUCAAGCCGCCCCUCCGCGGUUUAGCAAUCACCGGGAGUGCGGCGGCCUUUGAGCUUUUAUGGCGGGAGAGCUGCUCCAGUGGAAUGGUUUUGACAGCCUGUUCUCGGAAGCACCAGUAUUGUGGCACGUUUAAGGGCUCGCCGAUGCCAGGCUUCCUUACAUAUAUAAACUAUCUUCAGAUGAUCACAGCAAGAUAUAGUAUUACAAUUGAAUAUAGCAAUACAGCAGCC
rnacentral:sRNA from 1 species